rnacentral:rRNA from 1 species
UACGUAGGGUGCGAGCGUUGUCCGGAAUUAUUGGGCGUAAAGGGCUCGUAGGCGGUCUGUCGCGUCGGGAGUGAAAACUCAGGGCUUAACCCUGAGCCUGCUUCCGAUACGGGCAGACUAGAGGUAUGCAGGGGAGAAUGGAAUUCCUGGUGUAGCGGUGAAAUGCGCAGAUAUCAGGAGGAACACCGAUGGCGAAGGCAGGUCUCUGGGCCGAUACUGACGCUGAGGAGCGAAAGCGUGGGGAGCAAACAGG